AAGGAUCAUUACCGAGUGCGGGCUGCCUCCGGGCGCCCAACCUCCCACCCGUGACUACCUAACACUGUUGCUUCGGCGGGGAGCCCCCCAGGGGCGAGCCGCCGGGGACCACUGAACUUCAUGCCUGAGAGUGAUGCAGUCUGAGCCUGAAUACAAAUCAGUCAAAACUUUCAACAAUGGAUCUCUUGGUUCCGGCAUCGAUGAAGAACGCAGCGAACUGCGAUAAGUAAUGUGAAUUGCAGAAUUCAGUGAAUCAUCGAGUCUUUGAACGCACAUUGCGCCCCCUGGCAUUCCGGGGGGCAUGCCUGUCCGAGCGUCAUUGCUGCCCUCAAGCCCGGCUUGUGUGUUGGGUCGUCGUCCCCCCCGGGGGACGGGCCCGAAAGGCAGCGGCGGCACCGUGUCCGGUCCUCGAGCGUAUGGGGCUUUGUCACCCGCUCGAUUAGGGCCGGCCGGGCGCCAGCCGGCGUCUCCAACCUUAUUUUUCUCAGGUUGACCUCGGAUCAGGUAGGGAUACCCGCUGAACUUAAGCAUAUCAAUAAGC
rnacentral:misc_RNA from 1 species